rfam:Bacilli bacterium VT-13-104 contig040, whole genome shotgun sequence.
GACAAUAGCUGAAUAGGUUAACUCAAGGAUGGUUGGCACACUCCCGAAAGGGGGUGAUGCUAAUGACAGUUGCAGAAGGAUUAAUGCUAAUGAUUAGUUUCGGAGCGUUAAUAGUUGCAAUUAUGUCAGAAAAAAACAGUAAAAAAUAAAACCUACCCUUGAGUUUCCGGCUCGUUAGAGGGUAGGUUUUAUUCUCGUAUACGUGUCGAUCCCCUUGGGGGGGGAACCUAGCUAUUGUAUAGACUGAAGGUGUUAGCGCACCUUUG